UAGGGAAUCUUCCGCAAUGGACGCAAGUCUGACGGAGCAACGCCGCGUGAGUGAAGAAGGAUUUCGGUUCGUAAAACUCUGUUGUUAGAGAAGAACAGCGCAUAGAGUAACUGUUAUGCGUGUGACGGUAUCUAACCAGAAAGCCACGGCUAACUACGUGCCAGCAGCCGCGGUAAUACGUAGGUGGCAAGCGUUGUCCGGAUUUAUUGGGCGUAAAGCGAGCGCAGGCGGUCAAUUAAGUCUGAUGUGAAAGCCCCCGGCUCAACCGGGGAGGGUCAUUGGAAACUGGUUGACUUGAGUGCAGAAGAGGAGAGUGGAAUUCCAUGUGUAGCGGUGAAAUGCGUAGAUAUAUGGAGGAACACCAGUGGCGAAGGCGACUCUCUGGUCUGUAACUGACGCUGAGGCUCAAAAGCGUGGGGAGCGAACAGG
rnacentral:rRNA from 1 species